GUCUACAGUCAUGCUACCUUGAACAUGCCCGAUCUUGUCUGAUCUUGGAAGCUAAGCAGGGUCUGGACUGGUUAGUACUUGGAUGGGAGACCACCUAGGAAUACCAGGUGCUAUAGGCA
rnacentral:rRNA from 1 species